ensembl:snoRNA small nucleolar RNA SNORA18
ACUGAGGCCUAUCCCGACAGACUCCUCACUGUGGGCCCUAGUCGUUGGAAAUGCCUCAAAGAAUGACUCUGUGGUUUCGCUUUACUCUCAUGGCUACUACCAUUAGCCUUGAGGGAUAUUACUGCAGUACAAGC